GAACAAGCUUGUUUGUCCUCAAUGAUUUUGCACUGGGGACAUAAUAGAAUGCUUUUAUGUUUUGCCUCAAAACGUGUAAGGACAAUUUCCUCGGGUUCCACUCACGUUGUUUUUAACAAAGUGGCUCACUCUGGCCCAAUAAACAAUGGAAUUCUUCCAAACUGGUGAAAAGCGGAUGGCAGUGGGUCAAAGGCAUCAGAGAUGAAGCCGAUGGUGAAAAUAGGCGGAAGAAGUAGGUGGGCACUCGACCACCCUUGAUACCACUGAGCAUGCCCAAAGGGACAUUAGCGCAUAUCCCUGUGACCUUGAAGAAGAAUGAAUAUGUACAGCAGCGUACUACAGAUUUGAACUUAACUGUUCCAAUGCAGAACCUGAACUCUGAGAGGGCACGCUUGCUUGUCAGGUCACCCGGUGCCUAUCAUGGGGAAUAAAGGAAUGCCGCUUUCUAACACCACACUGGAGUUAGAGAGUUUUCUUCCUGGAUUUCAGAUGACCAUUUUUGGUGCCCAACGUGGGACAGUGCAACUGAGAUCUCGUGGACCGAAGGACUGGAGAGGACCUCCAUUCAGCACACACACACAGAGUGAUUCUUGGGGAGCUCCCCCCGAUCCCGGCUCCAUCGGGACCAGCCGCGAGUUCCCUGCCAUACGGUUUGUGGCGCAGGCAGCACCAACACCUCUGGAAGUCACAGUACUUCCAUUCCAACUCCACGAGUGAAUGUAUCUACAGACCUGGAGCUCUGAAUCACUACAGGAGAAGCGGAAAGGACCAUCUCAAAUCCUACUGACAACGCACACUGCUAUCAAGGUGGCAGGAGCAGAAUCUUGAGUUCAUUACACAAGAACAAAAAGUGCCCAGCUCACAGUGGCAAGCAGAACAGACUGCACUGAAGAAACUGAAAUUUCCACUUAAAUGAAUGCAACUUGUGAACAGGGAAACGAGAAAUCACAUUAUGAGCUGAAUGUAGUUAUUGAGAUAAAGUUACCUUUAGAGUA